CAGGCUUGCAGAUGACCACGUGCUUAGGGAAGGCUGGCAGCUUAUGUGGUCACCCUGUUGGACUCUCACACAUUAUAUGGGCAGUACACAGGCUAGCCCAGCUCUCAGAAGGCACUGUCUCGCCUCUCUCAUUCAUUCCGAGGUAGAGUCCUGAAUCCACCCCACGGAUACUAACCAGCCCCACCGCCAGGCUAAUGAACUCCAAAAUCCCUAAAGAGGAGGAAUACAGAUCAUUCAGAGAACAGAACUGACACCAGAUGUAACCCAGUGACUUGCACUCUGAAAUCCUCACCUGGAAAGCAUUGCUAUAGCCUUCAGGAAGAGUAAUCCUUUAUGAGUAAAGUGUCAUUAGUUUCCUUACCAGUCACUGCAGGAUGGGACAGCUCUGAAUCUAUUACCACAGCUCCUAGAACGUCCAGCUCGGGGUGAGCACCCCUCCCCCACCCCGCUCAUGUUACCUCACACGGCUCCUCUUGUGCGUGUGCCCUGGAAUUCUCAAUGCACCACCUGGG